rnacentral:rRNA from 1 species
UACGGAGGGGGUUAGCGUUGUUCGGAAUGACUGGGCGUAAAGCGCGCGUAGGCGGACCUGCAAGUCGGGGGUGAAAUCCCGGGGCUCAACCCUGGAAUGGCCUUCGAGACUGCCGGUCUUGAGUUCGAGAGAGGUGGGUGGAAUUCCGAGUGUAGAGGUGAAAUGCGUAGAGAUGUGGAGGAACACCAGUGGCGAAGGCGGCUUUCUGGUCUGUAACUGACGCUGAGGCGCGAAAGCGUGGGGAGCAAACAGG